GACGAACCGUGCAAACGUUGUUCGGAAUCACUGGGCUUAAAGGGCGCGUAGGCGGGUUCGUAAGUCUGUGGUGAAAGCCCCCAGCUUAACUGGGGAAGUGCCAUGGAUACUGCGAGUCUUGAGGAGGGUAGGGGCAUCUGGAACACUGGGUGGAGCGGUGAAAUGCGUUGAUAUCCAGUGGAACUCCGGUGGCGAAGGCGAGGUGCUGGACCCUUUCGACGCUGAUGCGCGAAAGCCAGGGGAGCAAACGGGG
rnacentral:rRNA from 1 species